rnacentral:rRNA from 1 species
CGGUUGAUCCUGCCGGAGGCUACUGCUCUUGGGGUUCGAUUAAGCCAUGCGAGCGGAGGGCAGUUCGGCUGCCCCGCAGACGGCUCAGUAACACGUAGUCAAUCUACCCUUGGGACGGGGACGACCCCGGGAAACUGGGGAUAAUCCCCGAUAGGUGAGGGUACUGGAAAAGUCUCUCAUUGAAACACUCUGGUGCCCAAGGACGAGACUGCGGCCCAUCAGGUAGUUGGUAGGGUAACGGCCUACCAAGCCGAUAAUGGGUACGGGCUGUGAGAGCAGGAGCCCGGAGAUGGGGACUGAGACAAGGCCCCAGGCCCUACGGGGCGCAGCAGGUGCGGAACCUCCGCAAUGCGUGCAAGCGUGACGGGGGAACCCCAAGUGCCGGUGGUCUAACGACUGUCGGCUUUUCAAGAGUGUAAAAAGCUCUUGGAAUAAGGGCUGGGUAAGACAGGUGCCAGCCGCCGCGGUAACACCUGCAGCUCGAGUGGUAGCCGAUUUUAUUGGGCCUAAAGCAUCCGUAGCCGGGCUGACAAGUCCUUUGUGAAAUCGGGCGGCUUAACCGUUCGGCUUGCAAGGGAAACUGUCGGUCUUGAGGCCGGGAGACGCUGAGGGUACUUCGGGGGUAGCGGUGAAAUGCUGUAAUCCCCGGAGGACCACCAAUGGCGAAGGCACUCAGCGAGAACGGACCUGACGGUGAGGGAUGAAGGCUGGGGGAGCGAACCGGAUUAGAUACCCGGGUAGUCCCAGCUGUAAAGUAUGCAGACUAGGUGCUGGGUGUCCCUCGAGGGCACUCGGCGCCGUAGGGAAGCCGUUAAGUCUGCCGCCUGGGGAGUACGGUCGCAAGGCUGAAACUUAAAGGAAUUGGCGGGGGAGCAC